rnacentral:rRNA from 1 species
CCUACGGGUGGCAGCAGUGAGGAAUAUUGGUCAAUGGACGAGAGUCUGAACCAGCCAAGUAGCGUGAAGGAUGACUGCCCUAUGGGUUGUAAACUUCUUUUAUAAAGGAAUAAAACGAGGCACGUGUGCCUUUUUGCAUGUACUUUAUGAAUAAGGAUCGGCUAACUCCGUGCCAGCAGCCGCGGUAAUACGGAGGAUCCGAGCGUUAUCCGGAUUUAUUGGGUUUAAAGGGAGCGUAGAUGGGUUGUUAAGUCAGUUGUGAAAGUUUGCGGCUCAACCGUAAAAUUGCAAUUGAUACUGGCAGUCGUGAGUACAGUUGAGGUAAGCGGAAGUCGUGGUGUAGCGGUGAAAUGCUUAGAUAUCACGAAGAACCCCGAUUGCGAAGGCAGCUUACUAAACUGUGACUGACAUUGAUGCUCGAAAGUGUGGGUAUCAAACAGGAUUAGAUACCCUGGUAGUC